rnacentral:rRNA from 1 species
GAUGAACGCUAGCGGCAGGCCUAACACAUGCAAGUCGAGGGGUAGAGUUCUUCGGGACUUGAGACCGGCGCACGGGUGCGUAACGCGUAUGCAAUCUACCUUAUACAGGGGAAUAGCCCCAGAGAAAUUUGGAUUAAUGCCCCAUAGUGUUAUCGAAUCGCAUGGUUUGAUAACUAAAGUUCCAACGGUAUAAGAUGAGCAUGCGUCCCAUUAGUUAGUUGGUAAGGUAACGGCUUACCAAGACAAUGAUGGGUAGGGGUCCUGAGAGGGAGAUCCCCCACACUGGUACUGAGACACGGACCAGACUCCUA